CUUCUUGCUGUAACAUGGCAUGACCUCACACUGACAGCUCCUGAGAACAAAGCCCUGCUCUAACUGUGAGCUCAGUCUCCAGGGCUCCAUACCUGCAGAGUUCAGCUGGCCUCACUGAGGACUUACACCUUUCUGGGGGAACAAGGACAGGGGGAGAAGCUGCUGAGAGGCAGAGACAGAGAAUACCCUGAGCUGAAGUUGACAGCUGGCUGUGAGGAUGAAGACCCCCAGCACAGCGCUCCUCUCCUUCCCAAGAGUUCAAAUGGAUCUCAAAGCAGUGUCUCUGCUGUAGAGGCAAAUACUCUCUUGGCUUCACCAUUUACUUCCAGGAACAGAAAAAUCCUCAGGUGGAGGAACCAAUGUCUUUGCUGCAAGUGAAACCAUUCAAGCUUUCUGCAGGGAGCCAAACUGGAGUAUAAUGAUUACAUUGAAGAGUACCUCAGAGAAAGUGGAUGGAGUAAUGCAAGAGAAAUGAAGACUGAAAGCAGAAGCUGACAUUUCAUCUUGCAUUAUAGCCCAUGGGACAGAAGGCACAAAUACAGUAAAUUAUCUGUAAGAGUCUCUUUUUCCUAGAAUGAAUGACUUCAAAGGCUCCAGCAAUACAAUGAAAUAAAUGAAAGAUUCCCUCUUUCUGUCUUUAGA